GAUGAAGAACGUAGCGAAAUGCGAUAGGUAAUGUGAAUUGCAGAAUUCAGUGAAUCAUCGAAUCUUUGAACGCACCUUGUGCUCCUUGGUAUUCCGAGGAGCAUGCCUGUUUGAGUGUCAUGAAAUUCUCAACCUUUUCAGCUUUCUUUGUUGAUCAGGCUUGGAUGUGGGAGUAUGCGGGCUUCUCAGAAGUCGGCUCUCCUGAAAUGCAUUAGCGGGACCUUUGUUGCCUGGCUUUGGUGUGAUAAUUAUCUACGCCAUUGUGGUCAAGCAGCUUAAAAUGAGGUUUCAGCUUCUAACCGUCUCCCCUGAGACAACUUUUUGACAAUUUGACCUCAAAUCAGGUAGGACUACCCGCUGAACUUAAGCAUAUCAAUAAGCGGAGGA
rnacentral:misc_RNA from 1 species